UACGUAGGGGGCAAGCGUUGUCCGGAAUUACUGGGCGUAAAGUGUGCGCAGGUGGCCGCGCAAGUCGAGUGUGAAAUCCCCGAGCUUAACUUGGGAAUUGCGCUCGAAACUACGUGGCUCGAGUGUGGCAGAGGAAGGUGGAAUUCCACGUGUAGCGGUGAAAUGCGUAGAGAUGUGGAGGAACACCGAUGGCGAAGGCAGCCUUCUGGGCCAACACUGGCGCUCAUGCACGAAAGCGUGGGGAGCAAACAGG
rnacentral:rRNA from 1 species